AUGAUUUUCCUCACCCUGGGUGAGACAAAGGAGAGUCCAGAUGAGGAUGCUGUUCAAAGUCAUGUUUCUCUGUCUUCUGUUAUCAGGACAGCUUUUGUAUCACUGUGGUGGACUUUUGGUGGAGGAACCAGACUGGAUGUUGGAAGUGACACCCGUCCCACCCUGACAGUGCUGCCCCCCUCCAGUGAGGAGCUGCAGCAGGGGAAGGCCACCCUCAUGUGUCUGGCCAACAAGGGCUUCCCCUCCGGCUGGAGUCUGUCCUGGAAGGUGGACGGCAGCAGCAGCAGCAGCUGGGAGCNUAUGGCUGAAAGUCGGUCCGAUCGAAAGAUUCAGAAGGACGGCCUCUACAGCUGGAGCAGCACCCUGAGGCUCCCUGCAGACCAGUGGAGGAAGGUGGGCUCUGUGACCUGUGAGGCCACCCAGGGCUCCCAGUCUGCAGUCACAGAGACACUGAGGAGAGACCAGUGUUCCCAGUACUGA